rnacentral:rRNA from 1 species
UGGGGAAUAUUGCACAAUGGGCGCAAGCCUGAUGCAGCGACGCCGCGUGGGGGAUGACGGCCUUCGGGUUGUAAACUCCUUUCGCUAGGGAAGAAGCUUUUUGUGACGGUACCUAGAUAAGAAGCACCGGCUAACUACGUGCCAGCAGCCGCGGUAAUACGUAGGGUGCGAGCGUUGUCCGGAAUUACUGGGCGUAAAGGGCUCGUAGGUGGUUUGUCGCGUCGUCUGUGAAAUUCCGGGGCUUAACUCCGGGCGUGCAGGCGAUACGGGCAUAACUUGAGUACUGUAGGGGUAACUGGAAUUCCUGGUGUAGCGGUGAAAUGCGCAGAUAUCAGGAGGAACACCGAUGGCGAAGGCAGGUUACUGGGCAGUUACUGACGCUGAGGAGCGAAAGCAUGGGUAGCGAACAGG